rfam:Gossypium hirsutum cultivar TM-1 chromosome 3, whole genome shotgun sequence
AACCCAUGAUGAGGACACCUUCUGAAAAGAUCCAUAAAUCUCUCUCAUGCAUCAUAUAAUGUCUCCAAAUCAAUUUGAACAAAAGAAGAGAUGUCGUUACUCAACUU